AUGCCAUCCGAUAGGGCGCCGGGGCCGGACGGCUUCACAGGCAUGUUCUUCAAGGUUUGCUGGGAGAUCAUCGCUGCAGACUUCAUGGCCGUCAUGAAGGCACUGUAUGAGGGACGGUUCGCUUCUUUUGGAGACCUGAACAGCUCCAUUCUCACAUUGCUGCCUAAAAAGAGUGAUUCUCUGGACAUCAGCGAUUUCAGGCCGAUUAACAUCAUCCAUGGUGCAGCGAAGAUUUUCGCCAAGGUUUUAGCUGUUCGGCUGGCCCCUAUGUUACCGGCUCUAAUAUCGCAGGCUCAGAGUGCUUUCGUCAGCAGACGCAACAUCCACGAGAACUUCAAAUUUGUGCGCAACACUGCUAAGCUGCUACACAGUAAGAAGCUACCGUCGGUACUCAUGAAAAUAGAUAUUUCUAAAGCCUUCGACACUUUAUCUUGGGAAUUUCUCCUGGAGGUUUUGAUAAAAAGGGGCUUUGGAUCGAGGUGGUGCGCCUGGAUCUGCGGGCUUCUAUCCACGGCCUCCUCCUCCGUACUCAUCAAUGGUGAGCUCUCGGAGGCCUUCGCUCUCGGUCAGGGAGUCCGUCAAGGAGACCCCCUUUCGCCAGCUCUUUUCAUCCUGACCAUGGACACCAUCCAUUGCAUACUACAGUGGGCAGCACAACAGAAAUUACUCUCUGAUCUGGGAUGUCAAAGCAAGGUGCCUAGGACAUCUAUAUUCGCUGACGAUGCAGUUAUGUUCUUCAGAACAGUGCCCUCGGACCUGCGGGUUAUCUUUGCCACUGUCUAUCUUCAAGCUUAG
rnacentral:rRNA from 1 species